AAAACGACUCUCAACAACGGAUAUCUUGGCUCCCGCAACGAUGAAGAACGCAGCGAAAUGCGAUACGUAGUGUGAAUUGCAGAAUCCUGUGAACCAUCGAAUUUUUGAACGCAGAUUGCGCCCAAGGCCUUUUCCGUUGGGGGCAUGUCUGUCUGGGU
rnacentral:rRNA from 1 species